UGGAAUCGCUAGUAAUCGCGAAUCAGAAUGUCGCGGUGAAUACGUUCCCGGGUCUUGUACACACCGCCCGUCACACCAUGGGAGUCGGAUAUGCCCGAAGUCAGUGACCCAACCAUAUGGAGGGAGCUGCCGAAGGUGGAGCCGAUAACUGGGGUGAAGUCGUAACAAGGUAUC
rnacentral:rRNA from 1 species